GCUGCAGAGUCUUUAUCUUCCAAUGAAAGUGAAUCAUUUUCAUGGGGACACUCUGGUGAUAGAGUUCUUAGAAGCUUUAUUUUGGAUGGUGUGCAUACGCUUAAAACAUACUUACCAUGUGCAUCUCAAUGGUCUAUUGGUGACAAUAUCAAAUCUGAUGUGGAAAUGGGGCUGUUAACCUCCAAAGUUUGCUGUCUUAUUGACUCUCUACUUGAGUACAGGGGGUUGACAGAUAUGAGGUGCAUAAUUUUUGUGCAAAGGGUCAUUACAGCCAUUGUCCUUCAGGAUUUAUUGAAUACCUUGCUUCCAAAAUACAAUAGCUGGAAGACUAAAUUCAUUGCAGGACACAAUUUUGGUUUGCAAAAUCAGUCAAGGAGAAAACAAAAUGGAAUUG